rnacentral:lncRNA from 1 species
AAAAAGGGGCAGCAAAAAGUAAAUCAAAUUUGACUGCGUCGGAGUUGUUCUCAUCGACUAUGUAAGGGUGUUGAAGAGAUGUAAAUCCAGAUUACACAACUACGCUUGAACUACAGUAAGUAGGUUCUAACGAAUUGCUAUGAACGUUAAACUCUCUUGAGAAAGUGCUCUCAGGAUAUUCCCCUUGUUCAGUUAUACUGCUUUCUAGAAGCGCACAAACUGAGAGGCAUGCAGUAGGGUUUCCACAGCUGUAGCGGCUAGCUGAGUGCCAAAGGCAACAUCAUAUGUAUCAAGUGCGUCAGAUCGAUUUCCUUCAAUUUGAUGCUCAAAUUCCCCCACAUGAAACUGCUCAUGUGAGACAAGAGGGGUUGCUCUAUGGUAAGCAACCCCACUUC